UGAACGCUGGCGGCAGGCUUAACACAUGCAAGUCGAACGGUAACAGAAGAUAGCUUGCUAUUUUGCUGACGAGUGGCGGACGGGUGAGUAAUGCUUGGGAAUAUGCCUUAUGGUGGGGGACAACAGUUGGAAACGACUGCUAAUACCGCAUAAUAUCUUCGGAUCAAAGUGGGGGACCUUCGGGCCUCACGCCAUGAGAGUAGCCCAAGUGGGAUUAGCUAGUUGGUAAGGUAAUGGCUUACCAAGGCGACGAUCCCUAGCUGGUCUUAGAGGAUGACCAGCCACACUGGAACUGAGACACGGUCCAGACUCCUACGGGAGGCAGCAGUGGGGAAUAUUGCACAAUGGAGGAAACUCUGAUGCAGCCAUGCCGCGUGUGUGAAGAAGGCUUUCGGGUUGUAAAGCACUUUCAGUGGGGAGGAAAGGGUAUGUUUUAAUAGAGCAUAUCUGUGACGUUACCCACAGAAGAAGCACCGGCUAACUCC
rnacentral:rRNA from 1 species